UACAGAGGUCUCAAGCGUUGUUCGGAUUCAUUGGGCGUAAAGGGUGCGUAGGCGGCGCGGUAAGUCGGGUGUGAAAUCUCGGAGCUUAACUCCGAAACUGCAUUCGAUACUGCCGUGCUUGAGGACUGGAGAGGAGACUGGAAUUUACGGUGUAGCGGUGAAAUGCGUAGAUAUCGUAAGGAAGACCAGUGGCGAAGGCGGGUCUCUGGACAGUUCCUGACGCUGAGUCACGAAGGCCAGGGGAGCAAACGGG
rnacentral:rRNA from 1 species